UGUACAUAUGGGAUGCCAUUGUUUGGUGAUCCAGACUGUUGGUCUGAUGGGCCCUGCCGUGGAUGGACCAUGUCCCAAAUAUUGAACAGCUUCAAUUCAAUAUAGAACUUUGAGUUCCUCAUUUCAGGUUUUUUACUUCUCUGGCCAGGUUUUUGAGCCCUCUUUCGGCUGUUCCAAUUAUAGCUCUUUCUGGCUUUCGGCUUUAUCAGCUUGGUUUUCCAUGAGCUACCUUGCAAAAAAUUUGUUAUUGAAGAAAAAAGAUAUGCAAAACAGAACUAUGUGAUUCCUAGUGACUGUUGUAGUUCAAAUUUUCACUGUGGACCCUAAGGAAGGAAUGAAUUAAUCUGGCUUGGUCACCAUUUGUUGUUGGCUUGGAAAAUGCUUAUUCUGAUAACGGUGCAGCUUCCAGAAAUUCCCAUGAUCCAAUUGACUCCAAUGUGAGUUGAAUUCCC